AUACCAUCAAUAACCCUGAUCCAGGGAACCAGGAGUUAGUCAGAGCCCGGCGUGUUCACCGUGAGAGGGACCGGUCUGAGUGAACUCAGGUGAGAACAGGUGAAAACAAGAGAAAACAGGCGGAAAUCAGGUUAAAAAAACGGAUGAAAACAGGCGGAAAUCAGGUGAAAUCAGGUGAAAGAGCGGUGAAAGAAAAGUGAAAGAAAAGGUGAAAGCCGGUAAAAACAGGUGAAACGUGUAAAAUCAAGUGAAAACAGGUUAAAAAAGGGUGAAAAAAGGUGAAAAUGGGUCAAAUCAGGUAAAAACAGAUCUAGAACAGGUGAAAUCAGGUGAGACGGGGUGAGACGGGUCCAUCCGAACACUCGGCUGUGAUUUCACUCCGAUUGAAACAGAAACAGGAUCAAUCGGACAUUUCAGGUUUCGGAGUUUUCCU